ensembl:lncRNA
UGCAGGAGCACGAGCAGGGGCUGGACUCCCUGGAGGUGGAGAGACAAGCAGUUGUGAGAACCCCUGAUGUGGGUGCUGGGAACUGAACGCAGGCUCCCUACAGGAGCACUUUGCACUCUUUACCACUGAGCCAUCUCUCCAGCACUGGAGGCUGCUUUAAACAUGGAAUUCUGCAUACCCAGAUAAUGCCGAUGCAACUUUCAGGCAACAGCAGAAAUCAAAUUUGGAACUGGAAGGAACAUCCUUUUAGUUCUUAAUGGUCACUUAGCCUAAUUAACAUUCAAACAAUCAGAAGAGAGUAAAAAAACCACACCAAACCAAACCCACACACGUGAUGGUGCACAUCUAACCCUUGCUUUGGCUCCUUAUUGAGUUCAUGGCCAGUCUGCGCUAUACAGUGAAUUCCAGGAUCGCCAGGGCUGUGCAAUGAGUCUGGUCUCCAGGAAAAAAGUGGGGUCCUGGGGGAUAAAUCAUGGGAGAAGGGAACUUACACACAGAAGCAUAAAUGUUUCAGAAGCAGGGGUUGGGGAUUUAGCUCAGUGGUAGAGCGCUUGCCUAGCAAGCGCAAGGCCCUGGGUUCAGUCCCCAGCUCCGGAAAAAAAAAAAGAAAACAAACAAACAGAAUUAGGGACUGAGGCAUUUAGGGCUUUCAUGAGCUACCAUCUCACCUUGCUAAAUCUAUUCUUUUUACUCAUGUUGUAUAUGAGCAUGCAGGUCCACGUGCAUGUGAAUACACAUACACACGUAGAUGGAGGGAGGCUGGAGGGUAAUCCUUGGUGCCAUCUAUCUGCACCAUUUCCCAGUCAGACUAUUUACUGGAGACAAACACUCUUACUUGUGGACUAGCCAAGUACACUCAGCAAACCCCAGGAAUCUGCCUGUCUGUCUCCCUAACACCCCCUGUCCUGACAAGGAUUUUUGUGUAGCCCUGGCUGUCCUAGAACUUGCUUUACAGACCAGGUUAACCUCAAACUCAGAGAUCUGCCUGCCUCUGCCUCCUGAGAAGAAAUGCCCACCACCUUUUGUGUAGGUCUGAGUGUCUGCCUGCAUGAAUACAUGUGCACCUCAUGCAUGCCUGAACUCAGACAAGAGCUCUGGAACUGGCAUUAGGCACAUUCUACUUUGUGGGUGCUGGGAAUUGAACACGGAUCCACUGCAAGGACAGCAAGUGCUCUAAACUGCUGAACAUCACUCUAGUCCCCCCCCGCCCCCCCUUUUUUUGAACUUGGGUUCUAGAGACAGAACUUAGGUCUUCCUGCUUAAAUACUCACUGGCUGAGCCAUCUCUCCCUCCCAUUGUUUGUGUUUUGAGACCGGGUCUUACUGUAACUCAGAUUGUUAUCUAGUCAAUCCACCUUGCCUCAGCACCCAGAGUAGGAUUACACCCAGGUCCUCCCAACUAUUUAAAAAUCAGGAAUGGAAAAGCUCAUGUGUCAUCCUUAAGUACUGUUGAGCCUUCAUGUAUAAAUGAGUAACAAACUUCUGCCCCCCAUAGUAAUGCUACUUAGUAGCAUCCAAAGGUUUAGCCAAAUUGCUUUACAAUGGAGGACAAGUCAGGAGACCUGAGGAUCCUCCUCUAAUAAACUCUUGACAGAAAACCACAAAGAUAACCCCUAGACCCCCUUUCAGCUGCUGGGCCUUUGACUCCCACCAAGUUCAGUGUCAGGCUUUCCUAACUCACUCAUCCUCCACCCCACUCUCCACUCCUGUGAAUGCUAUGCAAAGUGCUCUCCUGCCCAGCCACAUCCCCAUCUUUCUCAGACAGGAUCUUCAACCUGUAGCCAAGGUUAGCCUCCAACUUGUGGGUAAUCCUGCCUCUGCCUCCCAAGUGCUGGCAUUAACAUCAGCCCCCAUACCUAGCUCAUCGUCUCUUGAUCAGGGCAGUCAACAUGAAAAAAAAAGGAACUACAAGGAUGAGCACUGGACUGUGGCUUCAGUUAGAGUGUUGGAUGUCACCAAGAACCCUAGGCUAAGGUAGGUGGCCUUCCAAGAAAUUUAAGGCCAAUGAACUCUACAAAGUGGGUUCUAGGCCAUCUUGGACUAUAGAGCAAGGCCAUGACUCAAAAUAAAAAA